rnacentral:rRNA from 1 species
GAUUAACGCUGGCGGCGUGCCUAAUACAUGCAAGUCGAGCGAGCUGAUUAGACGCUUGCUUCUCUGACGUUAGCGGCGGACGGGUGAGUAACCCGUGGGCAACCUGCCUGUAAGACUGGGAUAACUUCGGGAAACCGAAGCUAAUACCGGAUAGGAACUUCUCCUUCAUGGGGGAUGAGUACAAGAUGGUUUCGGCUCUCACUUACAGAUGGGCCCGCGGUGCAUUAGCUAGUUGGUGAGGUAACGGCUCCCCAAGGCAACGAUGAAUAGCCGAGCGGAGAGGGUGAUCGGCCACGCUGGGACGGGGACACGGCCCAGACUCCUACGGGAGGCAGCAGUAGUGAAUCGUCGACAAUGGGCGAAAGACUGACGGAGCAACGCCGCGUGGGUGAUGAAGUCUUUCGGGUCGUAAAACUCUGUUGUUAGGGAAGAACAAGUACGAGGGUAACUGCUCGUACCAUGACGGUACCUAACCAGAAAGCCACGGCUAACUACGUGCCAGCCGCCGCCGUAAAAC